rnacentral:rRNA from 1 species
AGGACGAACGCUGGCGGCGUGCUUAACACAUGCAAGUCGAGCGGAAAGGCCCUUUCGGGGGUACUCGAGCGGCGAACGGGUGAGUAACACGUGAGUAACCUGCCUUUGGCUUUGGGAUAACCCUCGGAAACGGGGGCUAAUACCGAAUAUUCAUUCUUGCCGGCAUCGGUGGGGGUGGAAAGUUUUUCGGCCAGGGAUGGGCUCGCGGCCUAUCAGCUUGUUGGUGGGGUAAUGGCCUACCAAGGCUUUGACGGGUAGCC